rnacentral:rRNA from 1 species
UACGGGGGGAGCAAGCGUUGUUCGGAUUUACUGGGCGUAAAGAGCGUGUAGGCGGCCAAACAGGUCCGUUGUGAAAACUGGAGGCUCAACCUCCAGACGUCGACGGAAACCGUGUGGCUAGAGUCCGGAAGAGGAGAGUGGAAUUCCUGGUGUAGCGGUGAAAUGCGCAGAUAUCAGGAAGAACACCAAUGGCGAAGGCAGCUCUCUGGGACGGUACUGACGCUGAGACGCGAAAGCGUGGGGAGCGAACAGG